rnacentral:rRNA from 1 species
AGCAGCCGCGGUAAUUCCAGCUCCAAUAGCGUAUAUUAAAGUUGUUGCAGUUAAAAAGCUCGUAGUUGAAUUUCGAGAUCGGUUUAUUGGUCGUGCUAUUGUACGUACUGGUAUUACCGGUUUCUCCUUUCUGACGAACCUUAAUGCCAUUAAUUUGGUGUUUUGGGAAAUCAGGACUGUUACUUUGAAAAAAUUAGAGUGUUUAAAGCAGGCUCACGCUUGAAUACAUUAGCAUGGAAUAACGGAAUAGGACGUUUGAUUCUAUUUUGUUGGUUUCUAGGAUCGACGUAAUGAUUAAUAGGGAUAGUUGGGGGCAUUAGUAUUCAAUUGUCAGAGGUGAAAUUCUUGGAUUUAUUGAAGACUAACUACUGCGAAAGCAAUUUGCCAAGGAUGUUUUCAUUAAUCAAGAACGAAAGUUAGGGGAUCGAAGACGAUCAGAUACCGUCGUAGUCUUAACCAUAAACUAUGCCGACUAGGGAUCGGAUGAUGUUAAUUUUUUAAUGACUCAUUCGGCGCCUUA